GACGUAGGGCGCGAGCGUUGUCCGGAUUUAUUGGGCGUAAAGAGCUCGUAGGCGGCUUGUCGCGUCGAAUGUGAAAUCCUGCGGCUCAACUGCAGGCUUGCAUUCGAUACGGGCAGGCUCGAGUUCGGUAGGGGAGACUGGAAUUCCUGGAUGUAGCGGUGAAAUGCGCAGAUAUCAGGAGGAACACCGGUGGCGAAGGCGGGUCUCUGGGCCGAUACUGACGCUGAGGAGCGAAAAGCGUGGGGGAGCGAACAGG
rnacentral:rRNA from 1 species